rnacentral:rRNA from 1 species
AGAUUUGAUCCUGGCUCAGGAUGAACGCUGGCGGCGUGCCUAAUACAUGCAAGUCGAGCGAACAGAUGAGAAGCUUGCUUCUCUGAUGUUAGCGGCGGACGGGUGAGUAACACGUGGGUAACCUACCUAUAAGACUGGGAUAACUCCGGGAAACCGGGGCUAAUACCGGAUAAUAUAUUGAACCGCAUGGUUCAAUGUUGAAAGACGGUUUCGGCUGUCACUUAUAGAUGGACCCGCGCCGUAUUAGCUAGUUGGUAAGGUAACGGCUUACCAAGGCAACGAUACGUAGCCGACCUGAGAGGGUGAUCGGCCACACUGGAACUGAGACACGGUCCAGACUCCUACGGGAGGCAGCAGUAGGGAAUCUUCCGCAAUGGGCGAAAGCCUGACGGAGCAACGCCGCGUGAGUGAUGAAGGUCUUAGGAUCGUAAAACUCUGUUGUUAGGGAAGAACAAAUUUGUUAGUAACUGAACAAGUCUUGACGGUACCUAACCAGAAAGCCACGGCUAACUACGUGCCAGCAGCCGCGGUAAUACGUAGGUGGCAAGCGUUAUCCGGAAUUAUUGGGCGUAAAGCGCGCGUAGGCGGUUUCUUAAGUCUGAUGUGAAAGCCCACGGCUCAACCGUGGAGGGUCAUUGGAAACUGGGGAACUUGAGUGCAGAAGAGGAGAGUGGAAUUC